rnacentral:rRNA from 1 species
CUACGGGAGGCUGCAGGCGCGAAACCUUUACAAUGCACGAAAGUGUGAUAAGGGGAUCCAGAGUGCUUAUACUUUGUAUAGGCUUUUGCCAAAAGUAAAUAUUUUGGCGAAUAAGUGGUGGGUAAGACUGGUGCCAGCAGCCGCGGUAACACCAGCGCCACAAGUGGGAGCCACAUUUAUUGGGCCUAAAGCGUUCGUAGCUGGCUUAAUAACUCUUCUGUGAAAUUGUUUAGCUCAACUAAACAGCAUGCAGAUGAAACUGUUAAGCUUGGGACCGGGAGGAGUCAGAUGUAUUCUAGGGGGAGCGGUAAAAUGUUAUUAUCCCUUGAAGACAACCUGUGGCGAAGGCGUCUGACUAGAACGGAUCCGACAGUGAGGGACGAAAGCUAGGGGAGCAAUCCGGAUUAGAUACCCCCGUAGUC